rnacentral:ribozyme from 1 species
UUAUACUAUUGCUCUGUAAUGGGAUGGGAUCCGAAGCCCUCCGAGGGAUAACAUAGGCUCUCCCAUCCAACUCCUAUUCCGACACGUC